CCUACGGGAGGCAGCAGUGGGGAAUAUUGGACAAUGGGCGAAAGCCUGAUCCAGCAAUGCCGCGUGAGUGAUGAAGGCCUUAGGGUUGUAAAGCUCUUUUACCCGGGAAGAUAAUGACUGUACCGGGAGAAUAAGCCCCGGCUAACUCCGUGCCAGCAGCCGCGGUAAUACGGAGGGGGCUAGCGUUAUUCGGAAUUACUGGGCGUAAAGCGUACGUAGGCGGUGGUUCAAGUCAGAGGUGAAAGCCCGGAGCUCAACUCCGGAACUGCCUUUGAAACUAGAUCGCUAGAACAUCGGAGAGGUAAGUGGAAUUCCGAGUGUAGAGGUGAAAUUCGUAGAUAUUCGGAAGAACACCAGUGGCGAAGGCGGCUUACUGGACGAUUGUUGACGCUGAGGUACGAAAGCGUGGGGAGCAAACAGGAUUAGAUACCCUGGUAGUCCACGCCGUAAACGAUGAUAACUAGCUGUUGGGGCCUCAUAGAGGCGUCAGUGGCGCGAGACGUAACGACAUUAAGUUAUUCCGUCCGUCGGGUAGGUACGGUCGGCGAAGAAGUUAAACGUAACAAAUAGAAGUUAGACGGCGUGGUAGACGUUCGCCGAACGGACGACCGACGAGGGGAGGUUAGG
rnacentral:rRNA from 1 species